AUCGCUACUUGAAGAAAGAGAUUGCUUCAAACGUUGACAAUGAACAAUUGAACACCUCAUAAUCCCCUUUCAAACCCUAAUUCCCAAUUCUUCCCAAUCCUUCAAAUUCUCUCAAAUCCAAAAUCCCUAAUCUAAUCUAUGGCCUCCAGUUCCACCGUUUCUCCACCAACAAAUCACACCAGAUACGACGUUUUCAUAAGCUUUAACGAAGACACUCGCUUCUCCUUCACCGAUCACCUCUACGAGGCCUUAAUCGGUGCAGGAAUCAGAACUUACAGAGACAAUUCACUCAACGAUUCAACCGUUAGAACCUCGGAACUCGAGAGAGCAAUCACGGUAUCUAGGGCUUCGAUAGUCGUCUUGUCGAAAAGUUAUCUAGUUGAUAGUUCCUCUCUUGAUGAGCUGCGGUUGAUUAUGGAGCGGAGAAAGGGGUUUUAUCAUGUGGUUGUGCCGGUUUUUUAUCAUGUUGAUCCGGUUGAGCUUAGGAGAGAGGAGAGUGUUUGUGAGUUGGAAGUGUUUCGCAAGGCGGAGUGGGCGGAUAAGGUGGAGCAGUGGAAGGUUGCGCUUAUGGAAGUUGCGCAUUUGAGUGAUAAGGCGGUUUCGGGGCCUGAAACGAAGUUUAUUGCGGAUAUUGUUAAUACCAUUGGCAAUAAGCUAGGUCUCAAGUUAGUAUCUAGUCCACCACAUCUAACUGGAAUGGACACUCGAGCCGAAGAUAUUAAUCUAUGGAUGAAAGAUAAGCAAGAUGCUCAAGUUCUUGCAAUUUGUGGACCGGCAGGAAGCGGAAAGACAACACUAGCCAAAUAUAUUUAUGAUACCAACUUGCUAAAGUUUGAAAGCAGUAGUUUUCUUGAAGACAUUGGAAAGAUUUGUGAACAAACAUGUGGUUUAUGUGCAUUACAAGAACAACUUCUUUCAGACAUUUUAGAGGACAAGAGAAAAGAACUUGAUGUUAAUUCAUAUAAAAGUCAGAUCGAAAACGCCUUACGUAAGAAACGGGUGCUUAUUGUUCUUGAUGACGUCGAUAAAGAAGAACAAGUAGAAGCUUUACUUGGAAUGGAAGAGAUUAAUACAGAAAGCAAAAUUAUUAUAACAAGUAGGCUUCCAGAUAUACAAACAUUGUUUAGAUCUAGAUCUCGCAGGUGUAAAGAGCACAAACUUAAGUUACUAAAUGAACAUGAGUCAUUAGCGCUUUUAAGUUGGUAUGCUUUUGGUUCUAAAAUUCCCAUGGAAGGUUUUAAGGAGCUUGCGUUAAAAGCCGCACAUUACUGCGCGGGAAAUCCGCUGGCUCUUAAAUUGUUGGGUUCUUUAUUUGUUAACGCUAAAGACUCACGGAAACGAACGAACAUAGAAUAUUGGAUGAGCACAUUGAAUUUAUUAGAAAGAGAGCCUAAUUACAGGAUAGAAGGUAUUCUCCGCAUGAGCUUCGAGUAUUUGCCGUUUAUCACUUACCGAGAGUUGUUCUUGCAUAUUGCUUGUUUCUUUAUCGGAGAAGAUGAAGAUUAUGUGGUGAAGAUAUUGGAGCCUGAUUAUUGUGCAACAGCCGGGAUUGUAACGUUAAUUAAUAGAUGCCUUCUUACGGUUUCACCGAGCAAAAAACUGAUGAUGCAUGGAUUGUUUAUCGAGAUGGCAAGAAGGAUGGUGCUUGACGAAUCGCCCACGAACCCUGCAAAACGCAGUAGAGUUUGGUGUAACGAGGACUCUUACACUCUGUUGAGACAAGGAAUGGGUUCAGAAACCAUAGAAGGCCUAGCGCUUGACAUGCGAAUGGUGAGGGAAGAGAAGCAUAAUACGCAGCCAAUGGCCUUCGAUGCUGAUUCACUCGCAAAGAUGGAUAAUCUAAAGUUGCUCCAGCUCAACUAUGUGGAAUUAUCGGGAUCCUACGACGAUUUCCCAGAAGAUUUGAGAUGGCUUUGUUGGCACGGGUUUCCGUUAAGAACCCUACCUUCUGAAUUAUUCAUGGGGAACUUGGUCGCUAUAGACAUGAGUUAUAGCAAACUCGAAGUAUUUGAACCACCCACGGUAAUUAGACCACUAAAGAUACUAAACUUUAAAGACUCACAAAGCCUAGUAGAAAUCCACACUAUUUCCCGGCUUCCCAAUCUCGAGACGUUGAUUCUUUGGAACUGUUACAGUUUGGUUCGUGUUUCCGAGCCCAUCGGAGAUCUCAAGAGUCUUUCUCUAUUAAACAUGACCGGAUGCGAAAACCUGUUUAAAGCCUCAAAUUUCAGUCAACAACAGUCUUUGACUUCCCCCAUUCCACACUCAUUACAACGUCUUUUACUAAAAAGUUGCAGUCUCGAGCUCAACGAUCAUUUUUUAAGCUUUGAACAUCAUUCAUUUUUGCAGUACCUGAAUUUAAGCGGUAAUUUGUUCGACCGCUUGCCUGAAUACAAUCAUCUUACGAAUCUUCGGGUACUUGACUUGAGUUUUUGCUCCAGACUUGAGUGCAUUACAUGUCUUCCAAAUACGCUAGAAGAGUUGUUUGUUACGUGUUGUAAGUCAUUAGAGAAAAUUACGUUCCAAUCACCACGAUUCGGGUUGCGGGAAAUCGAUUAUCAAGGUUGUACUAAUUUAUUGGAAAUUGAGGGUCUUUUAAAACUCGUGCCGAUAUCAAAAACUGAUGAACGGUUUUUGGGGCAUAUGAAGUGGCUGAAAGAAUAUCAGAGUCAUGAAGUAUGCCUGAUUGGUGAUUAUCAUCUCACAGUAGACAGAAGUCGACAUAUCCAGAUGCUAUACGAAUUCGGUAUAAUGAGCACGUUUCUGCCAGACAUAAAGGACCCGAAUAUGACGUGUGAGUACACCUCAAAAUCUUCAUCAUUAUCCUUUAACGUGCCUUCACAUUAUAAUAACCAUAAGCUCAAAGGAUUAAACGUCAUUUUCAAAUACAUACUAUUCGGCGAGGAGAAAUAUGUAUGGCCAAUAUUUGCGAAAAUCAUUAACACAACCAAAUGUUGUGAAUGGAUUUACAACCCUAUGGUCUUCGGGAGCCCUAAAUUUGGUGACGUUGCUAUAUGGUUAAGUUAUUGGGCGAUGGAAAACUUAUUAGACGUCGGUGAUCAAGUUAACGUGUCUAUUAUUGUCGAGAAUGGAUUAGAGGUAAUCGAGUGUGGUGCAAGCCUUGUGUAUGAUGAUGAUGGUGAUGAUGAUGAGAUGGAGAAUGACACGUGGCAAAAUAACGUUAAAUGGGAUGAAAUACUUGUAGGGAAUUUGUCGGCAUUUCAGUUAAGCAAAGAAACGUAUUAUCUAUGUCGCCGCGAUUUCUUUAAGUCGAUGGAGGUUGAUGGACCGACGCCUAGGUGGUUCAGGGAUUCGGUUGGUUAUAAGUUUGAUUAUACAGAGAUACAGGGAUGGAGAAAAACCGGUCGGGAUCCCAAGUUGCGAUCGUAGUUUUUUAACGGAAGGAUUCGCCCGCCCGAGAGCAUCUUCGAAUCAAUGGCUAUGUAAGAGGUAACUAGGUGGACUUGGUCAAGUUGGAAUAUUACCGAAUAUGCUUUGGAAUAAACAUGUGCAAAUAAGGAAGUAACUGUUGUGGGUGAUCAUGGGAGCUCCCCGAAAUCUCGUUUAGUUAGUUAUUUGUUAUUUCUAAUUAUAAUUAGAGGAUAAUGAAGCUCAAAUAUGCAGAACAUACACAACACUCACUCUCUCUCUCAAUACUCAACCUACUCUCAACACUAACACUAUAUUCUAUUUUAUCGAGCUCAUUAUCUUCCAAAGUUGUAUUGAAUUACUCGUUACUUGCUCAAUACAGUUGGUGAUCGGUAGUUUCCAUCACCCGAUUUGUGCCGGAGAUCUCAUCAAGAUCAAGGGUUUUUUCCUCGUAUAA